UACAGAGGGUGCAAGCGUUGUUCGGAAUUAUUGGGCGUAAAGCGCGUGUAGGCGGCUUCGCAAGUCGGGUGUGAAAGCCCUGGGCUCAACUCAGGAAGUGCGCCCGAAACUGCGUUGCUUGAGUACCGGAGAGGGUAGCGGAAUUCCCCAAGUAGAGGUGAAAUUCGUAGAUAUGGGGAGGAACACCGGUGGCGAAGGCGGCUACCUGGACGGAUACUGACGCUGAGACGCGAAAGCGUGGGUAGCAAACAGG
rnacentral:rRNA from 1 species